rnacentral:SRP_RNA from 1 species
GCUGGGCAUGGUGGUGCAUGCCUGUAAUCCCAGCUACUUAGGAGGCUGAGGCAGGAGAAUCACUUGAACUCAGGAGGUGGAGGUUGCAGUGAGCCAAGAUCAUGCCACUGCAUUCCAGCCUGGGUGAUAAAGCCAGACUCUGUCUCAA